GAUGAACGCUGACAGAAUGCUUAACACAUGCAAGUCAACUUGAACUUCGGUUUGGGUGGCGGACGGGUGAGUAACGCGUAAAGAACUUGCCUCACAGUUAGGGACAACAUUUGGAAACGAAUGCUAAUACCUGAUAUUAUGAUUUUAGGGCAUCCUAGAAUUAUGAAAGCUAUAUGCGCUGUGAGAGAGCUUUUCGUCCCAUUAGCUAGUUGGAGGGGUAACGGCUCACCAAGGCGAUGAUGGUUAGCCGGCCUGAGAGGGUGAACGGCCACAAGGGAACUGAGACAGGGCCCUUACUCGGACGGGAGGCAGCAGUGGGGAAAAUUGGACAAUGGACCGAGAGUCGGGUCCAGCAAUUCUGUGUGCACGAUGAAGCUUUUCGGAAUGUAAAAUGCUUUCAGUUGUGAAGAAAAAAAUGACGAUACCAACAGAAGAAGUGACGGCUAAAUACGUG
rnacentral:rRNA from 1 species